rnacentral:rRNA from 1 species
UACGUAGGGUGCAAGCGUUGUCCGGAAUUAUUGGGCGUAAAGAGCUCGUAGGCGGUCUGUCGCGUCGGCUGUGAAAACUCGGGGCUCAACUCCGAGCUUGCAGUCGAUACGGGCAGGCUAGAGUUCGGCAGGGGAGACUGGAAUUCCUGGUGUAGCAGUGAAAUGCGCGAUAUCAGGAGGAACACCGGUAGCGAAGGCGGGUCUCUGGGCCGUGACACUGACGCUCAUGCACGAAAGCGUGGGGAGCAAACAGG